AGAGUUUGAUCAUGGCUCACAAUGAACGCUAGCGGCGUGCUUAACACAUGCAAGUCGUACGAGAACUCUUUAGCUUGCUAAAGAUAGUAAAGUGGCGCACGGGUGAGUAACGCGUGGGUAAUCUACCUCUGAUUUUGGGAUAACUCCGCGAAAGCGGGGCUAAUACCGGAUAAUAUUCCAGGAUCUUCGGGUCUUGAAAUCAAAAGUGGCCUCUACCUGGAAGCGACCGCUUGGAGACGACCCCGCGUCCCAUUAUGCUGGGUGGCAGGGCUAUUGGCUCUACCAUAGCGCUACUGAUGGCUUAGCGGGUCUGUGAUGGAUGAUUUCUCCCCACUGGAACUGAUCUCACGGUCCAGUAUCCUACGGGAGGUUGGU
rnacentral:rRNA from 1 species